AGACCUGUGACAAGGGAAGGAAAGUGAGGGGCAGAGAUGUUCAGAGUUAGAAUUUUAGAAGGGAAAGUAAAGGGGAACUAUAGCAAAACACAGCCUCACCUGGCCUCCCAUAAAACUCCAUGUUUGAAUUUAGCUGUCACUUAUCUAUACUUCAUCAUAAAUUUGUUGAGUACCUACACUUUAUCAGACACUUUAAUAUUAGUGCUUAUUGCAUAGUAAUGAUCUUUUUUUCUUCUCUCAUCCCCCAGCUGCCUGAGAAUUCUCACUGAACUGAGACUGUCUUAUCUUUUUUAUCAGAAGAGAGUUUCACAGGAGAAAUCAUCGUGCCAGGCUGAUUCCUCUUAGCGAGAUUGGAUUCUCUCUCAUGAAUGAAAUCCAGACUUCUUAAUCUGGUGUUUGAGGACUCGACAACUGUGGUAAGCUAAGCAAUAUCCUCACAUUAUGUCCAUGCCCUAAUCCUCAGAAGCUGUGAAUGGAUUCUUUAGCAUAGCAGAAGGCACUUUGUGGUUAUGAUUAUGUUAAGGGGUUUGAGAUAGGGAUAUUAUCCUAUAUCCUGCAUGGACCCAGGUUAAUCUUGAGGAUCCUUAAAAGAGGGAGGCAGGAGGAACACAGGUCAGAGAGAGCAGAUUGCACACUCUUCUUCCAGUGCCAUGUCAUUUUCAGAUGCCUAUAAUUUGCCUGAACAUCUAUUGGAUUGUUCACUUCCCUACCUCCAUGAGUCCAGAGUCUCCCCAGCUUCCAAAUGCCACCUCCUUUUGGGAUUUUACUCCUUUCCAUCCUUGGAAUUUUACCUGCUCCUGCAUGAGGAUACCCAUAUGCCAGCACCUCAGCCUGCAAUCCCAAGUCCUGCCAGGGCCUCUUAAAAUUCCAGAAGAUGCCCACACAACCCCUGGAAGAAGGCUUUGGGCUAUGUAGGUAAGGCGUUCCAUUUACACAGAGUAUGGAUUAGAAGUUGGGCAUGGGUUCUGGUUAUGCAUUGCUUUAAAACCCUUAGCCUUUGAGAAAGGGCACAGCCAGAUGAGGGCCAGAGUAGAACUCUCCCAAGCAUAUAGCCUGGGUCAGAGCUUUCUCUUUUCUGGUCUAUGGGAAGUAAUUUAGAAGUCUCAUUUUUAUAGCUUGCUUCUCAACCAGUUCUGAAAGAAAUACAAUCAGAGGAGGGAAUAGAAAGGAGACUUGAGUUUCCUUCCUGCAUACUGUAUGCUUGAUAUCAAGCUGAGGGCUCUACACAUGUUCUCUCACCUGAUCCUCAAGACCUUUGAGAAAGAUACUGAAUUCAGAUUCAAAAAGUAGAUUCCAGGUAGCAUAAGUUAUUUGGUCAAUGUCACAUGACCUAUAAAUGGUAGAGUUGGGAUUUUAACUCAUACCUGUCCAACCUGAACUGCCAUGCUUAUUUGUCAAUGCACUGACUCAUUUAAGUGUUUUAUUGAGGACCUAAUAUUUGGCAGGGAUUUCACAGAUUGCUGGAGAUACGAUGUGAGAAAAUCGGAUAUUGUCUAUGACCUCAUGGAGUUUCCAAUCUCCCGAGACCAUCACAGAAGCAAGUAGCAUUUCCAUUUGACAUUUGCUAACGGAAGCAGGUAGUACACUUUCGUUUCAUGAUGUCAACUCAAAGCGCUAAGGGCAGACCUUAGGAGGGUAUGACAAGCUGUGGGAAAGCAUGCUUUCAAGAGUAGGGAAGGACUUAGGACCUCUCAAAUCAUGUUAGAUCAGGCUAUUAAGCCCCAUUUAUAAGACUACCCAACUUACAGAAAUAUACUAUCAGCACAUGCUCCUGAAUAUAACCCUGCAUUAUGGGGCUUAUAGAGUGUUUGCUUAUUGCACUUCUCAGAGUAGAAUUGUCACUAUUAGAAAACUUGCAAGUGUUUGGUGGUGUGAUAGAAUUAAAUUUAUUAACUUACUGUGGCAUUGAACUUGCUCUAUCAUUAGGACAAACAUGAACAUUAUAUUUAGCAUGAUAUUUUGGAAGUGUUCAGGUAAAGUAUAACCUACUGAAACCCAGUCUCAGUCAGGCAGGUUGACACCAGUUUUUGCAAAGGUUUUUGUUAUUGUUUGUUAGUUUUGGUUUUUAAUUAUACACAGAAGAGCGACAAUGUAAGGUAAGUUGUUCAAGGUCACAGAGCAAAUUGAGGGCCAAAGUGGAUAAGGAUGUAGAAAUGAAGGGUUAUAAACUUCUGACUCCUGAAUGUGUGUGUGUGUGUGUGUGUGUGUAAUCCUUCACUCUGCCUUUCAUUUAACAUUUCACAAAGAAAGAAGAAAAGACUUGAGGAUCUGCAUAUGGUGUGAGGAGUGAGUUCAGUGCUGCUUUUAAUUGAAAGCUCUGAGGGCCAAGCUUGCAGAGCCGGGUAACAGCUGUAGUGCACGCCACUGCCCCGUCACGCUUGUGUUGCCAUAAUAGACAGGCUUAUUAUUUUUUAAUUAGGAGCUUCAGUGUUUUGUUAAACUGCAAAUGUGUCAGGACCUGGGGAUUUGGUUUUACACUCAACCGUCUUGCAUUUAAUCUUUCUGGAAGCUUUUGGGAGACGCAGGGUCAGUUUGUAAAAGGCAUUUCGUUAUUGUGGAAUAACAAUAGUUAACAUUCACUGUGCGUUUGCCAUUUUCCAGGCAUUAGGGUGAAUACUAUUUGAAUUCAUUUAUCAACUCACCCACCAACCACUGAACCGAUACAUAUUCCUUGAGCUCCCAUCAUGGAUCAGUGGCGAUGUUAGGCAUUUUGGUGGAUAGAUAAGAGAUGAAUAAAGCCCAUCCAGAAUCACUCCUCUGGGACGUU
rnacentral:lncRNA from 1 species